rnacentral:tRNA from 1 species
ACGAGGGAUAGCUCAAUUGGUAGAGCAUGAGACUCUUAAUCUAAGGGUUGUGGGUUUGAGCCCCACUUUGGG